AUGUGACCACAUGUCAUAAGUGAUGGAGAGGAUCCCAGAUGAAAAGAUAGAUAGAUUUUGGCAAAUUUAUUGUCCUUUUAAAGCCAUGACCCUACAAGGCACACAUGGCCAAAAUAUUUCCUCAGAUAUAUAUAUUCAUCUCCAUUGAAGAUAAUGGGAACUAAGCAAGUCUCAAGGUUGCUGUCUGAUGGGUAGUUGAUAUGAACACAUGGGAGUUGCUCACGGUACAUGUGCAUAGACUGUUGGAGAAUCAUUUGUAGCCUGCUUUUUAUGUGACUGUUUUGCAAACAAUUUAAACCAGGAUAAAGAUUCUAAUGGAAGAAAAAACUAUAUAAUGAAUGAAAGCCUUGAGGAAUUAAAAGUUUUCCUGUUUGUGAGCAAGUAUCUUUGCCCACCUAAGAAACUAAGAGUUAACUGUGUGAGUGCCACUUAACAGCCAUCAGAAGAAUAGAUCCAGUCCUGAAAAAGACCCUCUGCACUACAGCAAAUACAGUUUGUUUCUGAGUGGAGUAACAACAUAUCAAAACCUGCACAGACAAGCAUCACUGAUGGUCUGUUUUCAUACUAAUACUGCCAGUGGGUAAUCAAAAUUAUCAGAGGGCACUCAUAACAGGGAACCACUGAGUGCUAUCCUGAGUAGUUCCAGUGCAUUAAUCUGGACAAAAAAAUGAGUGUGUGGUGUUAGUCCAUUUUGCAGAUACAGAUUGGAAAGUAAUAAUUGGAGCAAGGACUGAUCAGUUAUUAUACGGAUGUCUGGGCUGCAUCUGCUCGAAUGAAACUUCAAAAAUAGAGUAGCCUUGUGUUUGCACAAAGGAUAAUCUGGAAGGUGGUGAUUCUG